ACGAACGCUGGCGGCAUGCCUAACACAUGCAAGUCGAACGAGACCUUCGGGUCUAGUGGCGCACGGGUGCGUAACGCGUGGGAACCUGCCCUUAGGUUCGGAAUAACUCCCCGAAAGGGGUGCUAAUACCGGAUAAUGUCUUCGGACCAAAUAUUUAUCGCCUUUGGAUGGGCCCGCGUUGGAUUAGCUAGUUGGUAGGGUAAAAGCCUACCAAGGCGACGAUCCAUAGCUGGUCUGAGAGGAUGAUCAGCCACACUGGGACUGAGACACGGCCCAGACUCCUACGGGAGGCAGCAGUGGGGAAUAUUGGACAAUGGGCGAAAGCCUGAUCCAGCAAUGCCGCGUGAGUGAUGAAGGCCUUAGGGUUGUAAAGCUCUUUUACCCGGGAUGAUAAUGACAGUACCGGGAGAAUAAGCUCCGGCUAACUCCGUG
rnacentral:rRNA from 1 species